AUUGAACGCUGGCGGCAGGCCUAACACAUGCAAGUCGAACGGUAACAGGAAACAGCUUGCUGUUUCGCUGACGAGUGGCGGACGGGUGAGUAAUGUCUGGGAAACUGCCUGAUGGAGGGGGAUAACUACUGGAAACGGUAGCUAAUACCGCAUAACGUCGCAAGACCAAAGAGGGGGACCCUCGGGCCUCUUGCCAUCGGAUGUGCCCAGAUGGGAUUAGCUUGUUGGUGGGGUAACGGCUCACCAAGGCGACGAUCCCUAGCUGGUCUGAGAGGAUGACCAGCCCCACUGGAACUGAGACACGGUCCAGACUCCUACGGGAGGCAGCAGUGGGGAAUAUUGCACAAUGGGCGCAAGCCUGAUGCAGCCAUGGCGCGUUGUAGAAGGAGGCCUUCGGGUUGUAAAGUACUUUCAGCGGGGAGGAAGGGAGUAAAGUUAAUACCUUUGCUCAUUGACGUUACCCGCAGAAGAAGCACCGGCUAACUCCGUG
rnacentral:rRNA from 1 species